AUCAACAAGGUGAAAAAAACUUCAAAUUACUAGUAUAUCAGUAUAUGGCAGUUAAGAUCAUUGCUGCAUGUUAGGAAUUCCACCUUUGAAGUCUCACUUUAAAAGUUAGACUAUAAAUCAGGAGUUUCUCAUGGUUAGGCUUAUGCUCUUUAAUUAACACUUCGAUUCCGAUUUAUGGCAGUUCCAGCUUGGAACAUGAUCAGAAAUCGGAAUCCACAACAUCAUGGUGGUGGAAGGUCAGGCGGUAUAAAGAGCUCGCCAUUUUGUCAUGGAGAUCAGGUUUUAUAACAAUAGCAUUAGAAACUGACAUAAGGAAAUGAGAAGCUUCGUAGAUGAUUGACAAUGUUAGGGAUGUCAAUUUGCAUUUAUGAAUGAGGAUGAGAG
rnacentral:lncRNA from 1 species